GAGGUAAUGGCUCACCAAGGCGACGACGGGUAGCCGGCCUGAGAGGGUGACCGGCCACACUGGGACUGAGACACGGCCCAGACUCCUACGGGAGGCAGCAGUGGGGAAUAUUGCACAAUGGGCGCAAGCCUGAUGCAGCGACGCCGCGUGAGGGAUGACGGCCUUCGGGUUGUAAACCUCUUUCAGUAGGGAAGAAGCGAAAGUGACGGUACCUGCAGAAGAAGCGCCGGCUAACUACGUGCCAGCAGCCGCGGUAAUACGUAGGGCGCAAGCGUUAUCCGGAAUUAUUGGGCGUAAAGAGCUCGUAGGCGGUUUGUCGCGUCUGCCGUGAAAGUCCGGGGCUCAACUCCGGAUCUGCGGUGGGUACGGGCAGACUAGAGUGAUGUAGGGGAGACUGGAAUUCCUGGUGUAGCGGUGAAAUGCGCAGAUAUCAGGAGGAACACCGAUGGCGAAGGCAGGUCUCUGGGCAUUAACUGACGCUGAGGAGCGAAAGCAUGGGGAGCGAACAGGAUUAGAUACCCUGGUAGUCCAUGCCGUAAACGUUGGGCACUA
rnacentral:rRNA from 1 species